AGUGAACGCUGGCGGUAGGCCUAACACAUGCAAGUCGAACGGCAGCACAGUAAGAGCUUGCUCUUACGGGUGGCGAGUGGCGGACGGGUGAGGAAUACAUCGGAAUCUACUUUUUCGUGGGGGAUAACGUAGGGAAACUUACGCUAAUACCGCAUACGACCUACGGGUGAAAGCAGGGGAUCUUCGGACCUUGCGCGAUUGAAUGAGCCGAUGUCGGAUUAGCUAGUUGGCGGGGUAAAGGCCCACCAAGGCGACGAUCCGUAGCUGGUCUGAGAGGAUGAUCAGCCACACUGGAACUGAGACACGGUCCAGACUCCGACGUGAGGCAGCAGUGGGGAAUAUUGGACAAUGGGCGCAAGCCUGAUCCAGCCAUACCGCGUGGGUGAAGAAGGCCUUCGGGUUGUAAAGCCCUUUUGUUGGGAAAGAAAAGCAGCAGGUUAAUACCCCGCUGUUCUGACGGUACCCAAAGAAUAAGCACCGGCUAACUUCGU
rnacentral:rRNA from 1 species